rnacentral:rRNA from 14 species
UUUUUGUACUAAUCAAUAAUAAUACAACAAACGAACUAUAUUAUUAGAAAAAUAAUGAUCACAGAUGGAUUGGAACAAUAAUAUUUAUUAAUCAUCUUCUAGCAAGUGAUACGCCUCUUCAGCUCCCUUCUUAAAAGUAAAUAAUAGGAUUCAAUGAGGAGUUGUUGUCUUGGAUGGAGGGCGUGCAGAUCCAAGCGACUUUACGCCAUGGUCAUCAUUCUUCAAAUUAAAAAAAAGGC